rnacentral:rRNA from 1 species
AUUGAACGCUGGCGGCAGGCCUAACACAUGCAAGUCGAGCGGAUGACGGGAGCUUGCUCCUUGAUUCAGCGGCGGACGGGUGAGUAAUGCCUAGGAAUCUGCCUGGUAGUGGGGGACAACGUUUCGAAAGGAACGCUAAUACCGCAUACGUCCUACGGGAGAAAGCAGGGGACCUUCGGGCCUUGCGCUAUCAGAUGAGCCUAGGUCGGAUUAGCUAGUUGGUGGGGUAAUGGCUCACCAAGGCGACGAUCCGUAACUGGUCUGAGAGGAUGAUCAGUCACACUGGAACUGAGACACGGUCCAGACUCCUACGGGAGGCAGCAGUGGGGAAUAUUGGACAAUGGGCGAAAGCCUGAUCCAGCCAUGCCGCGUGUGUGAAGAAGGUCUUCGGAUUGUAAAGCACUUUAAGUUGGGAGGAAGGGCAGUAAGUUAAUACCUUGCUGUUUUGACGUUACCGACAGAAUAAGCACCGGCUAACUCUGUGCCAGCA